rnacentral:rRNA from 1 species
UACGGAGGGUGCGAGCGUUGUCCGGAAUCACUGGGCGUAAAGGGCGCGUAGGCGGCCUGAUAAGUAGGGGGUGAAAUCCUGCGGCUUAACCGAGGAACUGCCCUCCAAACUGCCUGGCUUGAGUCCGGGAGAGGUGAGUGGAAUUCCCAGUGUAGCGGUGAAAUGCGUAGAUAUUGGGAGGAACACCUGUGGUGUAGACAACUUACUGGACCAUAACUGACGCUGAGGCACGAAAGCGUGGGUAGCAAACAGG